rnacentral:lncRNA from 1 species
GCUGUCUUCGACUUCUCAUGCUAGCCAUCUCAUUGAUAACUUCCUUCCAAUCAAGGCGAGCAUACUACUGCACUUUUAUGGUCUUUCAUACUUCCCUCCACAACCAACUAGCUGUCCAAAUGCUUGAUGCUUUUAUAAUUACUGUCAUAAGCUCUCUUAUUUGUGCAUAUUUAAAACUCUCUAUGUUCACGUCCGUAACUGUGCCUAGACUAUUCUGGGCUUCCUUUAGUUAUUUCUCUCUAACGUUGUACUUUGUCUUCCAAGUGAAUAGAGUUCCCCUGUUAUACCAAAUAUAUAUAUAUAUAUAUAU